rnacentral:rRNA from 1 species
GACGAACGCUGGCGGCGUGCCUAAUACAUGCAAGUCGAACGCUUCUUUCCUCCCGAGUGCUUGCACUCAAUUGGAAAGAGGAGUGGCGGACGGGUGAGUAACACGUGGGUAACCUACCCAUCAGAGGGGGAUAACACUUGGAAACAGGUGCUAAUACCGCAUAACAGUUUAUGCCGCAUGGCAUAAGAGUGAAAGGCGCUUUCGGGUGUCGUUGAUGGAUGGACCCGCGGUGCAUUAGCUAGUUGGUGAGGUAACGGCUCACCAAGGCUACGAUGCAUAGCCGACCUGAGAGGGUGAUCGGCCACACUGGGACUGAGACACGGCCCAGACUCCUACGGGAGGCAGCAGUAGGGAAUCUUCGGCAAUGGACGAAAGUCUGACCGAGCAACGCCGCGUGAGUGAAGAAGGUUUUCGGAUCGUAAAACUCUGUUGUUAGAGAAGAACAAGGACGUUAGUAACUGAACGUCCCCUGACGGUAUCUAACCAGAAAGCCACGGCUAACUACGUG